CACUCCUACGGGAGGCAGCAGUGGGGAAUUUUGGACAAUGGGCGAAAGCCUGAUCCAGCAAUGCCGCGUGUGUGAAGAAGGCCUUCGGGUUGUAAAGCACUUUUGUCCGGAAAGAAAUCCUUGGCUCUAAUACAGUCGGGGGAUGACGGUACCGGAAGAAUAAGCACCGGCUAACUACGUGCCAGCAGCCGCGGUAAUACGUAGGGUGCGAGCGUUAAUCGGAAUUACUGGGCGUAAAGCGUGCGCAGGCGGUUUGCUAAGACCGAUGUGAAAUCCCCGGGCUCAACCUGGGAACUGCAUUGGUGACUGGCAGGCUAGAGUAUGGCAGAGGGGGGUAGAAUUCCACGUGUAGCAGUGAAAUGCGUAGAGAUGUGGAGGAAUACCGAUGGCGAAGGCAGCCCCCUGGGCCAAUACUGACGCUCAUGCACGAAAGCGUGGGGAGCAAACAGGAUUAGAUACCCUAGUAGUCC
rnacentral:rRNA from 1 species